GGGAUCUUCCCAGACCAGGGCUCGAACCCGUGUCCCCUGCACUGGCAGGCAGAUUCUUAACCACUGCGCUACCACGGAAGCCCUAUCAUAUGGUUUUGAUUUCCCUUUCUCUGAUAU